UUUCGGGCCUGGAAAGAUUAUGAAGUUCGGUACAAAACCUUCUGGUAUUCAAAAAAAAAAACAACAUGUUUUUGAAAUGUUAGGUCCGAAGAAAACAAAUAAUCAAAAACUAUAAACAUAGAAGAGUCUCUCGUUUGUGCGGAGGGUUGUGGUAUGUGUUUAUUGAAGAAGACUCGGUACACAUGAAUUAGGGAUUAAACCGGAUUCGGUUCCGGAUUUAUUGAAGACCGUUAGUGAGUUAACAGAGUUAGCUAAAAGCUCUGUAUCAAAACAAGCUCUAGUUAAUGUGUUUGUAUCUAAUUUUCAAUUCAAUUACAAACAAGAGUCAUGAGUGUUGAUGUAGGGAUCACACAAGUACGAUGUUUCUCUAGGAAGAGUUAAAGAAUCCGUCUCGGUUAACAGGCCGAUGACUAGACGAGAAUUUCUUGACUAAGGGACGUGGUAUUGUGACGGAAUGAUCGAAACAGGAUGAGAUCGGCGAUGUGUAGACAAGGCGAGGUCUUGGAGACGAGGUGAGGUCUUGAAGAUGAGGCGAAGUCUUGAAGACGAGGUGAGGUCUUGAAGACGAGGCGAGGUCUUGAAGACGAGGUGAGGUCUUGAAGACGAGGCGAGGUCAAUGGUUGUACUGCUGUCCUUUCUCUGUGUCAGCGGGAAUUGCGCAUUUCCUUUCAUUCCUUUCCAUUCUUGUACUUAUAGGACCUGUCCUUUUAGGGUUUCCUUUUUAUGCUUGUAAGUCUUUACCACUUUUUCCACUCUGCACAGUACAUCUGUCCUCUUUGCCCUCUUCCUUUGGUCGAUGGAACACUCCAGAUCUUUUCUAUCACUUACUGGGCUUGGUUUGGGCUUAUUAUGUUCAUGGGCCAAAACCGACCAUUAACAAUGAGUAAGAUUUAACGUUUGAUUGUGACGGUCUAGCGAUCGGAUUAUAUCAAAAUUAGUUAAUGAACAACUUAUAAUUGAUCAUCAAGGAAUAUGUAAC
rnacentral:lncRNA from 1 species